rnacentral:rRNA from 1 species
AUUGAACGCUGGCGGCAGGCCUAACACAUGCAAGUCGAACGGUAACAGGAAGAAGCUUGCUUCUUUGCUGACGAGUGGCGGACGGGUGAGUAAUGUCUGGGAAACUGCCUGAUGGAGGGGGAUAACUACUGGAAACGGUAGCUAAUACCGCAUAACGUCGCAAGACCAAAGAGGGGGACCUUCGGGCCUCUUGCCAUCGGAUGUGCCCAGAUGGGAUUAGCUAGUAGGUGGGGUAACGGCUCACCUAGGCGACGAUCCCUAGCUGGUCUGAGAGGAUGACCAGCCACACUGGAACUGAGACACGGUCCAGACUCCUACGGGAGGCAGCAGUGGGGAAUAUUGCACAAUGGGCGCAAGCCUGAUGCAGCCAUGCCGCGUGUAUGAAGAAGGCCUUCGGGUUGUAAAGUACUUUCAGCGGGAAGGAAGGGAGUAAAGUUAAUACCUUGGCUCAUUGACGAUACCCGCAGAAGAAGCACCGGCUAACUCCGUG